GAAGCACUUAGAUCUCAGGGAUCCUGUGCAGUAUAUCUGGGCCUGCAGACCCUUGAGAAUAGGCAUGUAGUUUUUCACUUUUGAUGCCCCAGAGCCUAGCAUGGUGCUUGGCAAAUAGUGCAAACUCAACAUUCUUUAAAGACCUGAACUCUGGCCUAUCAUAGAGUGAAAAGAAGCUUGAGGAAAUUUACCAACGUCUUGACCAGGUUUCCGUAGACAAUGCCUCUUUCCGUUCCUCUCUGUUAGAGAUCUCAGUGGUGGAAGCACCAUCAUCCCAAGGAGACUUAGGGUGCUUCCAAGACCAAGAUAACCAGGCAAUCAUAGUAGAUGCAUCAAUGCACCCUUGCCCAAGGGCCUAGACAAGAGGAGGAAGGAAAGGAGGAGCACGUGCACAAAGCUAAGGAGGUGAUUAACAACAUGAUACAGUAUUGUUUAGCUUCGCAUGAAUUUUAUCACCUUGCCUAGAACCAGCCACCAUCUGCCAGGGCUCCUGACUUUUUCUGAAAUGAAUAGACACUAAAGCCUGCUGGGGAAUUUCAUGGAAAUCAAGAUGACUCAACCCAGAGUCCAUUUCAAGGCUAGGAUGCUAGAGGACGCCAACAAAGGAGUAGGGAAGUGAAACGGAUCAGCUCACAUCCAAGCCCUUGCAUGAUCAAUCCUGCAGUAGGAGUGCUGCUCAGUUGGGACUCAUGAGAGCCCGGAAGAGGAAAAAGCAGCUCUAAGCAUAGCAAAGAAGCUGUUAUGGAAAAGACCCAAAUGUUAAAAUGGUGGACAUAGUAAAGUGAUUGGUUCUGCUUAGGGGAAUCUAGAUCCCCACAUUUUGACCUCCACUGGAGUCUCAGAAGAACAAGUGCCAGGGGGGCUUGCCACAGAGGCCAAGGCAGUGAAUGUCAGGCACAUCACAGUCCCCAAGAUGGGGAGAAGACUGAGAUGCAGGGUAACAACUGCAAUCCAUUCAUGGGAGCCAUGUUUAUCUUAAAUCAUUGACAGUGAGAUAAGGAUCAUGUCAGCCUUCAUACCUUUGAUGAUGAUCCCAGGCUGCAACAGUGACACAUAGAACUGGAUUCAGUAACUAACUACAGAUUCCAUCAACCAGGACUAGUAAAGUGAAAGGCAGAAAUUGGGAGGAGGGGUUUCUUUCUUGCUUAUAAAACUUUAUUUGGUUGUGUUGAGUAUGUGCAUGUAUGUAUGAAAUCCCAUAAAGCAGUCUUCUUAGGAACAAGCCAACAUGCCACAAUGUAGGAGAUCUUUGGAGCACUGGCCUAAAUGGCAGAGAGCUCAAGGGACUCUGCUUUGUACAAGGCAUGAUUUGUACCACCACCACUAUCCCUGUUUCAGAGCACUGUUGAAUUGUUCCAAACCUGGAUUUCUAUGUCAGCUCCCUGUCUAUAGUACUUGACUGAUAAAUGCUAGUUUCUGAAAUCUGCUUUGGUUCUAUAAUUUAUUAGACAGCUUUUUCUUCCCAUUUUAUUACUUGUUUUUACUGUCAUUGGUAUAUUAUCUCUUACAGUGAAAACAUUCAUAGGCUGAUUGAAGAGAAGAUCUGAAAUUAUUAGGCAGCAAGCAUACAAAACCCUUGCUUUAUAAAGAUAAUAUCUUAAAGGCCUAAUGUCUAUGGUUCAAAGCAGCCUGGAGAUGUUGGCUAAAUCUUCCAUCAUAGAGUCCUCAUGGGAUCUGGAAGCUCUGAUUUAUCUUCCUUCAGGCCCUAUAAGUUAGCUUUCCACAUCUGUAGGUUCCACAAUCAACCUUGGAUCAAAAACAUUUGAAA
rnacentral:lncRNA from 10 species